UACGUAGGAACCAAGCGUUGUUCGGAUUUACUGGGCGUAAAGGGCGCGUAGGCGGCAAUUCAAGUCAUCUGUGAAAUCUCCGAGCUUAACUCGGAACGGUCAGAUGAUACUGUUUUGCUAGAGUACAGAAGGGGCAAUCGGAAUUCUUGGUGUAGCGGUGAAAUGCGUAGAUAUCAAGAGGAACACCUGAGGUGAAGACGGGUUGCUGGGCUGAUACUGACGCUGAAGCGCGAAAGCUAGGGUAGCAAACGGG
rnacentral:rRNA from 1 species